rnacentral:pre_miRNA from 8 species
UGCUCUGCUUUUCCUAGGGUGUUGCUCUCAUCUCUGGUCUAUAAUGGGGUAAAUGUAGAGAUGAGGGCAACAGCCUAGGAACAGCAGAGGAACC